rnacentral:lncRNA from 1 species
UAUUUGUAUUUACUACAUCAAUGUUAAUUUGCUUAAUUUUAUGAAUUUAAAGACAAAUAUCCUGAAAAAUGAUAUAUGGUAAUUUAUGAGCAAUUUUUCAAAGGCUUACAAGGUUGUCACACCGCCAUUUUUUGACGUAAAAACCAACUCAACUCAAAUUUACGUCAAUUGUUUGCUUAUCAGAGCUCUUAUAAUGGUAGAAUUUUAUGAUUUUUUUUAAAAUGUUAUUUUUCUUAAUUUUCAAAAUCUAAAAUACAUCAAUUUUCAAUAAGUAGUUAAAAAGCACCGUCAAUUUUGCGGAGUCUUACAAAAAUGUCGCACUGGCUAAAAAACAGCGUUUCAGUCGAAGUUUUGGUUUGAACGUUACGAAAUAUUCGCGACGUUGUGUUACGCUUACAUGUACGAACCUCGCACGUAACGUCUAAAGCAUUUAGAGCAUACAGGUAAACCUGUCAAAUAGGUCAAGAUUUAUCAUCUAUGAAAAUUUCGGACAAACACAACGACCGAUUUUCAGGUUGCUGCCACAAAAUUAUUAUUUUUUGGGAAAUUUUACAGUUUUUGGUUUUCAUAUUAAAUAUCAUUGAAGAUAAAUUUAAACUGUUAACAGCAAAAUUGUUCAGUGAAGUCAGAUCUACACACAACUUCAAAGUGAACUCUGGCUGCGGGAGUUUCUCGCUACAUUGAAGACCCAUUGUGGGCCUUUCGCUGUUGUCUGCUGUAUGGUCGGGUUGUUGUCGCUUUGACAGAUUCCCCAUUUCCUUUCUCAAUUUUAUUAACAAAAUUUUCAAUUGAACCCUAAAGAAUUUAUUGUCCUUUAAGGAAAAUUUUGUACAUUUCUGUAACAUCUUCUCAUCUGAAACUAACUGAACCAAAUACUAAGCUUAAGAUGAAUGAUUCUUAGGUUAUCUAGAAUAAAUGUUGUGUUUUAUUUUCCGUUUCCUCAAAAAACAUGGCCACCAUGCCUAAAAAUAGAACUUCGGGUAAAAUGCAGUUUUUGACUCAUAUCUCAAAACUUUAAGCAUAUCCGACAAGAAUUUAAAGUAUACAUAUAUAUAUUAUUUAUUAUGUCAAGGUCUACUUUCCCUUAAAUUAUCAGCCAAGUCGUGUUUCUGGUUUUUGGUUUUUGUCCCUAAAUUGAUGAUUUUAAGAAAUUUUACAGUUUUCGGUUAUUAUCGUGAAUAUUAUCAUAGAUAAAGAUAAACUGUAAACAGCCAAAAACGUCAUGUCAAGUAAGAUCUACAAAUACUUUAAUAUGACCAAAAUUGUCAAUUUACCCCUUUAGGAGUGAUUAUCCUUGAAGGACAAUUUUUCACAACUUGACUUGUUCAUCUAGUCUGCUUUAAACUUUUAAAAAAUCUUCUCCUUUGAAACUCCUGUUACGAAAUUUCUGUCUGUCAUA